AUUUUCUGCACGUUGAACGGGACAGACACACAUCCGGUAACGUUUUCAGCCCCAUCUUCACCACCAGGAGAAAAAAAUCUGCAUCAACUACAAAGUAAAGCAGACAUGGGGUGCCUUACGCUCAUGACAUGAUAUUAUCAGCCAACAGCUGAGUGUCAGCAACAUCAAGGACAGAUGGCCAGCGUUGUUUGACGUCUCCCAAAGUCAGUGCAGAGUUUCAUAGGAUCACGACCCUGAACCUUGAACCAAAGUUCAUGUCAUCGUUGGACUUGUAUUCAUACUCCUGUCCUUGUUUCAAGCCAAGAAAGGUGCUGCUGGACAACACCACAGGGCACAGUUAAAUCUUCUGCUUCAGAGUGGAAAUUCCAUCGAGAAAAAACAAAAGUCAUCAUCAGAUGUCUCAUUGACCAUCUGGGAGAGGAUCCAAGUGCCUUAAUCAAAACCUUUGAGGACAGUGCUGAUGCUGUCUGGUGAAGAGGCUUUGGCUGAGGAGGUGAUGAAGAUUUACCUGCUGCAGAAUCAAGACAGGUCAGGUGAACCUACUGAUGUGGAUAUUGUUAUUGAAGGCGUUACUGUUCUGGGCAAACUUGGGAAUCUGAGCAAAGCCUGUUGCUAUCUUUUGGGACUGUGCAAUGCUCUGGAUCUGAAAUAUCCCAAGAAUCUCAAAUGCACAUUUGAAGCAUUUCAAAAAGUGUUCACGGAGCUGGAUACAGGAAACCUUUCUGUCAAGGUUCAAAGACUGAAAAAUGACCUCUGUUCAUUGUAGACAAAAUUUCACAGGGCUGUUCUUAAAGUGUUAGACUUGUUAAGUGACAUGUAAUGCUCAUCAAAAGGUUCAGUUGUGGCAUUACAUAGUGUUGACAUUCCUGUUCAUAAAUAAUGUUUGUACCAUAAACUGUGUUUUGCAUUAACUUUCCAGAUUCACAUUAAGGUGUAAAUGGGAGAGUAUCUUCUGUAUGUUUUUUUUUUUUAGUUUUUUUUUUU